UCGGCAUCAUCAUCAUCAUCAUCAUCAUCAUCAUCGUCAUCCCUCUGUAGAAAUUAUUCUGACAUCAAUGAGAGAAAGAAUUCACCAUUAUCCACGACCCUCAGAUUGGGUUUCAGGGUGAUGAAAAGCUGUGAAAGUUAAUCUUCUCUGCUUCACUGAGUGCCAAGCAGAAAUGCACAGCUGGGAACUGUGGCAAGUGGUCCCUAACUACCCUACAGGGAUAAUCUCACCUUUCAGGGGCAGAAAGACGUCCAGGUCAAUCCUAAAAGCUCACUGCUGCCACUAGAGGGAGCAAUGUUCCAUCCAGAGGGUAAAAACUCCCGUGUCAUCCAGGGAGCAGUUCUGCAGCCCACCCUCAAUUCUACAAGUUG